rnacentral:rRNA from 1 species
GACGAACGCUGGCGGCGUGCUUAACACAUGCAAGUCGAACGGUAAGGCCCUUCGGGGUACACGAGUGGCGAACGGGUGAGUAACAAGUGGGUGAUCUGCCCUGCACUUCGGGAUAAGCCUGGGAAACUGGGUCUCAUACCGGAUAGGACUCUGGGAUGCAUGUCCUGGGGGGGAAAGCUUUUGCGGUGUGGGAUGGGCCCGGGUCCUAGCAGCUUGUUGGUGGGGUGAUGGCCUACCAAGGCGACGACGGGUAGCCGGCCUGAGAGGGUGACCGGCCACACUGGGACUGAGAUACGGCCCAGACUCCUACGGGAGGCAGCAGUGGGGAAUAUUGCACAAUGGGCGCAAGCCUGAUGCAGCGACGCCGCGUGAGGGAUGACGGCCUUCGGGUUGUAAACCUCUUUCAGCACCGACGAAGCGCAAGUGACGGUAGGUGCAGAAGAAGGACCGGCCAACUACGUGCCAGCCGCCGCCGUAA